rnacentral:rRNA from 1 species
GACGAACGCUGGCGGCGUGCUUAACACAUGCAAGUCGAACGCUGAAGCUCUGCUUUUGUUGGGUGGAUGAGUGGCGAACGGGUGAGUAACACGUGAGUAACCUGCCUCCUUCUUUGGGAUAACGCCCGGAAACGGGUGCUAAUACUGGAUAUUCACUGUUCUUCGCAUGGGGGUUGGUGGAAAGGGUGUUUCUGGUGGGGGAUGGGCUCGCGGCCUAUCAGCUUGUUGGUGGGGUGAUGGCCUAACAAGGCUUUGACGGGUAGACGGCCUGAGAGGGUGACCGGUAACAUAGAGACGGAGAUAAGGCCUAGGCUAGUCCGGGAGGGGGAAGUGGGGAAAAUGGGCGAAUGCGUGAAAGACUGAUGCCGCGACGCUGAGGAAGGGCUGGGGGCCUUAGGGUUGUGUAACUAUGUAGGAAAUGGUCAAGCCGCAACAAUGGUUGUCGUGACGGUAGUGGGUAAAGAAGCGCCGGCUAACUACGUG